GGGGCUGAUUCUGGAUUCGACGGGAUUUGCGAAACCCAAGGUGCAUGCCGAGGGGCGGUUGGCCUCGUAAAAAGCCGCAAAAAAUAGUCGCAAACGACGAAAACUACGCUUUAGCAGCUUAAUAACCUGCUUAGAGCCCUCUCUCCCUAGCCUCCGCUCUUAGGACGGGGAUCAAGAGAGGUCAAACCCAAAAGAGAUCGCGUGGAAGCCCUGCCUGGGGUUGAAGCGUUAAAACUUAAUCAGGCUAGUUUGUUAGUGGCGUGUCCGUCCGCAGCUGGCAAGCGAAUGUAAAGACUGGCUAAGCAUGUAGUACCGAGGACGUAGGAAUUUCGGACGCGGGUUCAACUCCCGCCAGCUCCACCA
rnacentral:tmRNA from 1 species